rnacentral:tRNA from 1 species
GUUUUCGUAGUGUAGUGGUUAUCACGUUCGCCUCACAUGUGAAAGGCCCCCGGUUCGAACCCGGGCGAAAACA